rnacentral:rRNA from 1 species
GAUUAACGCUGGCGGCGUGCAUAACACAUGCAAGUCGAACGAAGUGGCGGACGGGUGAGUAACGCGUGAGUAACCUGCCUUAGAGAAGGGGAUAGCCUUUGGAAACGAAGAAUAAUACCCUAGGCUCUAAGAUGGACUUGCGUCUGAUUAGUUAGUUUGUGGGGUAACGGCCCACCAAGACAGCGAUCAGUAGCCGGCUUGAGAGAGUUUACGGCCACCUUGGUACUGCGACACGGCCCAGACUCUACGGGAUGCAGCAGUGGGGAAUUUUUCACAAUGGGGGAAACCCUGAUGCAGCGACGCCGCGUGGGGUAGAAGGCUUUCGGGUUGUAAACCUCUUCGCUAUCGCACAUUUUUUGGUGGGUUGAGGGUAGGUGGAGAAGAAGCGCCGGCUAACUACGUGCCAGCAGCCGCGGUAAUAC